AUUGAACGCUGGCGGAAUGCUUUACACAUGCAAGUCGAACGGCAGCACGGACUUCGGUCUGGUGGCGAGUGGCGAACGGGUGAGUAAUGUAUCGGAACGUGCCCAGUCGUGGGGGAUAACGUAGUGAAAAUUACGCUAAUACCGCAUACGAUCUAUGGAUGAAAGCGGGGGAUCGCAAGACCUCGCGCGAUUGGAGCGGCCGAUAUCAGAUUAGGUAGUUGGUGGGGUAAAGGCCCACCAAGCCAACGAUCUGUAGCUGGUAUGAGAGGACGACCAGCCACACUGAAACGGAGACACGGUCCAGACUCCUACGGGAGGCAGCAGUGGGGAAUUUUGGACAAUGGGCGAAAGCCUGAUCCAGCCAUUCCGCGUGCAGGAUGAAGGCCCUCGGGUUGUAAACUGCUUUUGUACAGAACGAAAAGGUUUCUACUAGUACUAGGAGCUCAUGACGGUACUGUAAGAAUAAGCACCGGCUAACUACGUGCCAGCCGCCGCGGUAA
rnacentral:rRNA from 1 species